rnacentral:rRNA from 1 species
UACAGAGGUGGCGAGCGUUAUUCGGAAUUAUUGGGCGUAAAGGGCGCGUAGGCGGCUUGACAAGUCCCGGGUGAAAUCCCUCGGCUCAACCGAGGAACUGCCUUGGAAACUGUCUGGCUUGAGGCCGGGAGAGGGUAGUGGAAUUCCCAGUGUAGCGGUGAAAUGCGUAGAGAUCCGGAGGAACACCAGCGGCGAAGGCGGCAUCCUGGACUGGUCCUGACACUCAUGAGCGAAAGCGUGGGGAGCGAUCCGG